rnacentral:ncRNA from 1 species
AUAUUAGCUAGAAUGCAAAUGAUUGAAACAUUAAGAAUAAGCUCAACUAGCAUUCUUUUUGUUCAUAUUAUUUGUUUGUCUUACAACCUAUUAAGUUUUAUUUGUGCUGUUUUUUGCAUAUUCCAAGGUGUAUUGCCACUUUCAAGCUAUUUAGACGGGAUAAACUAUCCCGUC